UAGUGAUCUUGCCAAAGUCACAGCUGCUUCUGUAUAGCUGCUGAGGAAAAAAAGAAGAGGCCUGGAGUUUCCUUGACAGGUUCUGAUUUCUGAGACUGAUCUACAGUUUGAAAAAGGACAAUG
rfam:Mesocricetus auratus contig112790, whole genome shotgun sequence.